AAUCAACGCUGGCGGCGUGCCUAACACAUGCAAGUCGAACGCGGUUACCCCGCAAGGGGUAACUGAGUGGCGAACGGGUGAGUAACACGUGGGUGACCUACCUUCGAAUGGGGGAUAACGUCCCGAAAGGGACGCUAAUACCGCAUAACAUCCUGCUUUUGAACAGGUGGAGAUCAAAGCCGGGGAUCGCAAGACCUGGCGUUUGAAGAGGGGCCCGCGUCCGAUUAGCUAGUUGGUGAGGAACGGCUCACCAAGGCAACGAUCGGUAGCCGGCCUGAGAGGGCGGACGGCCACACUGGGACUGAGACACGGGCCAGACUCCUACGGGAGGCAGCAGUGGGGAAUUUUGGGCAAUGGGCGAAAGCCUGACCCAGCAACGCCGCGUGAGGGAGGAAAUCCUUCGGGAUGUAAACCUCACAAGCAAGGGAAGAGAGCUGCGGGCUGAAUAAUCCCGCAGUGCGACGGUACCUUGCGUAAGCCACGGCUAACUACGU
rnacentral:rRNA from 1 species